rnacentral:lncRNA from 8 species
UGGAGAUUGUUCAUAUAGAUAAACAAUAGCUGCCAAAGCAUAUUUUUGAAUGAUCAAAUAAUGGCUUGGCUAGUCACCAAGUCAUCAUCAGAAGUUGGACCUCCUUUUGCUCUGGGGAGAAUAAAAAGGAACAGAUCUCUCCCUCAGACAUCACAUCCUUCUUCAGCAAUCCUUCGAUUCUCCUGUGGUGCUGCACUACUAAAGAAUCAUUCAAGAUGAAAACCUUCAUUCUGAUCGCUUGCAUCCUGGGGACUGCUCUCGGCCGCCCACAAAGGCUGGUCAUGGAGUUUGACUUCCAGGCUGCCAAUGCUCAGGCUCUCCGAGCUGGACAAGCCAGACCUGAUCUAGAGAUUAUCCUUCCUGUUGGUGGUGGAGUACCUUACCACCCCUUCUUCAUUCAGGUUGCCCCUCCUGCUCCUGCUUCACCUGCCCAUACUCAUACAUCCGAUGAGGAAGAUGAAUAGAGAUAUUACCAAUACUUGGAGAUCUACAAUACCCUUCGAUGAAACAACGAUGUCCUUCAACUCCACAGCUGCUCUUAGUGUCCUAGAUUGAUUCAGUAAAUGCAUUGCUUAACCCAGCAAUUAACAUAGAGUAACAUGGUGCUGAACCGAUUGCUUGAUGCAUGAAAGCUGUGUGUAAUUGUUUGUACCUGGCAGAAUAAUGUUAAUAAAACCCCCAGAAUGUUUUGCCAACCUUCUCCAUACCAUGCCUCAAUUUUAUUUCUUGUCUCUGCUUGUUAGUCUGUGGCAUUGAUGACAUUCAAUGAUUUUCAGUUCUUCUCAAUUGCGUACACAUUUUUGUAACAAUGUCAUUUUUCUAGACAGUGUACACAAGACACAAAACUCAAUGUCGUAAAUUUUCCAAAUGUUGUUACUUUCUUGAAACAGCAAAU